rnacentral:rRNA from 1 species
UACAGAGGGGGCAAGCGUUAUUCGGAAUUAUUGGGCGUAAAGGGCUCGUAGGCGGUUUGUCGCGUCGGGAGUGAAAACCCAGGGCUUAACCCUGGGCUGGCUUCCGAUACGGGCAGACUAGAGGUAUGCAGGGGAGAACGGAAUUCCUGGUGUAGCGGUGAAAUGCGCAGAUAUCAGGAGGAACACCGGUGGCGAAGGCGGUUCUCUGGGCAUUACCUGACGCUGAGGAGCGAAAGUGUGGGGAGCGAACAGG